AUCCAUCUGACGAGUCCCAAAUAGGACGAAACGUGCGUGAUACUGGAU
rnacentral:hammerhead_ribozyme from 1 species